UGCGCAUUACUUUCAUCACUACACUCUGAAAUAAUGUUAAACGUAAUUGGUUUAAAAUUUAAUAUUUUUUGUCUUUUGCGAAAUUUAUACAUGCCUCAGUUUAAGACAUAAACUGUUUUUGUUUCAUAUCUUAAACUAAGUUAGUUUGGUGUGAUGAUAAUUUUAUCAGUGUAUUCAUUCGUCGUCAGAAAUGUUUACGUUUGCCGCCAUUUUAGAGGGAAUUUUUUUCUUGUGACCGGUAAUACACGGUGUUUGCAAAUUCAUGGAGAAAACCCAUUGUUAACGGUGCCAAAAAGUGAUUUCAAAAUCCCGCCUGUAAAAACCUAUCCAAGCAGCGUCCACUUAACCGCUAUUAAAAGCUACAGGAAUCCAAAUCCCAACGGAACGGGAUGCUUUUUUCGUUGGUACGAUUUACGGUAAUAGCGAUGAUGUUCAGAUCAGCGAGAGCUGGGGAAAUGAGGAAUUCCUGAUGGCAUUGUUGGCUCCGGAAACGCCGUUUGGAAUACAGGAUGAGCUAUGCGAGGAUCACUGUCAACCCUUGGAACAACCUUUUACUCCAAAAAAGUGCCGAAACAGCAUGGAUUAUAAAAAGUGUUGUGAUAUGAAUUAAAAGCUUUGUUGAAAAUGGUUAAGGAAUCAAUAAACGUACAUGAUUCAUGUUUUAUGUUGUGUAGCGAAAAAUAAAUCCGAGGGUAAAUACACAAUUACUCAAUCAAAA